rnacentral:rRNA from 1 species
GAACCUUACCUACCCUUGACAUGUCCGGAACUUGCCAGAGAUGGCUUGGUGCCCGAAAGGGAACCGGAACACAGGUGCUGCAUGGCUGUCGUCAGCUCGUGUCGUGAGAUGUUGGGUUAAGUCCCGCAACGAGCGCAACCCUUGUCCUUAGUUGCUACGCAAGGGCACUCUAAGGAGACUGCCGGUGACAAACCGGAGGAAGGUGGGGAUGACGUCAAGUCCUCAUGGCCCUUAUGGGUAGGGCUUCACACGUCAUACAAUGGUCGGUACAGAGGGUUGCCAAGCCGCGAGGUGGAGCCAAUCCCACAAGGCCGAUCGUAGUCCGGAUUGUUCUCUGCAACUCGGGAGCAUGAAGUCGGAAUCGCUAGUAAUCGCAGGUCAGCAUACUGCGGUGAAUACGUUCCCGGGUCUU